rnacentral:rRNA from 1 species
AUUGAACGCUGGCGGCAGGCCUAACACAUGCAAGUCGAACGAGUGGCGGACUGGCGAGUAAUGUCUGGGCACCUGCCUGAUGGAGGGGGAUAACUACUGGAAACGGUAGCUAAUACCGCAUACCAUCAGAUGUGCCCAGAUGGGAUUAGCUAGUGGGUGGGGUAACGGCUAACCAAGGCGACGAUCCCUAGCUGGUCGGAGAGGAUGACCGGCAACACUGGAACUGAGACACGGGCCAGAAUCCUACGGGAGGCAGCAGUGGGGAAUAUUGCACAAUGGGCGCAAGCCUGAUGCAGCCAUGCCGCGUGUAUGAAGAAGGCCUUCGGGUUGUAAAGUACUUUCAGCGGGGAGGCGGUACCCGCAGAAGAAGCACCGGCUAACUCCGUGCCAGCCGCCGCGGUAAUAC